UUUUAUGGAGAGUUUGAUCCUGGCUCAGGAUGAACGCUGGCGGCGUGCCUAAUACAUGCAAGUCGAGCGAACGGACGAGAAGCUUGCUUCUCUGAUGUUAGCGGCGGACGGGUGAGUAACACGUGGAUAACCUACCUAUAAGACUGGGAUAACUUCGGGAAACCGGAGCUAAUACCGGAUAAUAUUUUGAACCGCAUGGUUCAAAAGUGAAAGACGGUCUUGCUGUCACUUAUAGAUGGAUCCGCGCUGCAUUAGCUAGUUGGUAAGGUAACGGCUUACCAAGGCAACGAUGCAUAGCCGACCUGAGAGGGUGAUCGGCCACACUGGAACUGAGACACGGUCCAGACUCCUACGGGAGGCAGCAGUAGGGAAUCUUCCGCAAUGGGCGAAAGCCUGACGGAGCGACGCCGCGUGAGUGAUGAAGGUCUUCGGAUCGUAAAACUCUGUUAUUAGGGAAGAACAUAUGUGUAAGUAACUGUGCACAUCUUGACGGUACCUAAUCAGAAAGCCACGGCUAACUACGUGCCAGCAGCCGCGGUAAUACGUAGGUGGCAAGCGUUAUCCGGAAUUAUUGGGCGUAAAGCGCGCGUAGGCGGUUUUUUAAGUCUGAUGUGAAAGCCCACGGCUCAACCGUGGAGGGUCAUUGGAAACUGGAAAACUUGAGUGCAGAAGAGGAAAGUGGAAUUCCAUGUGUAGCGGUGAAAUGCGCAGAGAUAUGGAGGAACACCAGUGGCGAAGGCGACUUUCUGGUCUGUAACUGACGCUGAUGUGCGAAAGCGUGGGGAUCAAACAGGAUUAGAUACCCUGGUAGUCCACGCCGUAAACGAUGAGUGCUAAGUGUUAGGGGGUUUCCGCCCCUUAGUGCUGCAGCUAACGCAUUAAGCACUCCGCCUGGGGAGUACGACCGCAAGGUUGAAACUCAAAGGAAUUGACGGGGACCCGCACAAGCGGUGGAGCAUGUGGUUUAAUUCGAAGCAACGCGAAGAACCUUACCAAAUCUUGACAUCCUUUGACAACUCUAGAGAUAGAGCCUUCCCCUUCGGGGGACAAAGUGACAGGUGGUGCAUGGUUGUCGUCAGCUCGUGUCGUGAGAUGUUGGGUUAAGUCCCGCAACGAGCGCAACCCUUAAGCUUAGUUGCCAUCAUUAAGUUGGGCACUCUAAGUUGACUGCCGGUGACAAACCGGAGGAAGGUGGGGAUGACGUCAAAUCAUCAUGCCCCUUAUGAUUUGGGCUACACACGUGCUACAAUGGACAAUACAAAGGGCAGCGAAACCGCGAGGUCAAGCAAAUCCCAUAAAGUUGUUCUCAGUUCGGAUUGUAGUCUGCAACUCGACUACAUGAAGCUGGAAUCGCUAGUAAUCGUAGAUCAGCAUGCUACGGUGAAUACGUUCCCGGGUCUUGUACACACCGCCCGUCACACCACGAGAGUUUGUAACACCCGAAGCCGGUGGAGUAACCUUUUAGGAGCUAGCCGUCGAAGGUGGGACAAAUGAUUGGGGUGAAGUCGUAACAAGGUAGCCGUAUCGGAAGGUGCGGCUGGAUCACCUCCUUUCU
rnacentral:rRNA from 1 species